GUACUCGCUUCGGCAGCACAUAUACUAAAAUCGUAAUGCUACAGAGAAGAUCAGUGUGGCCCCUGAGCAAGGAUGACACACAAAUUCACGAAACAUUCCAUAUUUUU
rnacentral:snRNA from 1 species